CCUACGGGGGGCAGCAGUAGGGAAUAUUGCUCAAUGGGGGAAACCCUGAAGCAGCAACGCCGCGUGGAGGAUGAAGGUUUUCGGAUUGUAAACUCCUUUUGUUAGAGAAGAUACUGACGGUAUCUAACGAAUAAGCACCGGCUAACUCCGUGCCAGCAGCCGCGGUAAUACGGAGGGUGCAAGCGUUACGCGGAAUCACUGGGCGUAAAGAGCGCGUAGGCGGGAUAGCAAGUCAGAUGUGAAAUCCUAUGGCUUAACCAUAGAACUGCAUUUGAAACUGUUAGUCUAGAGUAUGGGAGAGGUAGGUGGAAUUCUUGGUGUAGGGGUAAAAUCCGUAGAGAUCAAGAGGAAUACUCAUUGCGAAGGCGACCUGCUGGAACAUAACUGACGCUGAUGCGCGAAAGCGUGGGGAGCAAACAGGAUUAGAUACCCCUGUAGUC
rnacentral:rRNA from 1 species